rnacentral:lncRNA from 1 species
AAUCUUAUUGUUUAAGUAUGUCAGGUACAACUCACUGCACCGACAAUACUCCUUUAAGUCCAUCCUGAGCUUUAAGUUAUCUUUUGUUUUGUUACUUACAUCCAUCACAGUAUUAAGCAAGUUGUCAAAGAAGUUUUUCUCAAUAUGCAUGGAAUCCAGAUUAUGAGGCAGAAAAUUAUCCUUCCAGUAAUCUAACUCCUAAAAUAUGCUUCGUUUAGUCCAGUUAUGUGUAACACCAUAAUCAGGUAUCCUGGAUGGUGGAAACUCUGUUACCUUAGGCAGAUUCCUCACUCUAUCCCAAAUUUCUUAUCGUGACAAAAUUGGCGGUGGGUCUUUAAAAUCAGUCUUAUUCUUCAUAAAAUCACUAGUAUUUCUCCUAAACUCAUGUUGCAUUGGCAAGAAUCGACGGUGACAGUCAAACCAUGAGUUUUUACCCCCAUGUUUCAAACCAUGAGUCUUAUUCUUCAUAAAAUCACUAGUAUUUCUCCUAAACUCAUGUUGCAUUGGCAAGAAUCGACGGUGACAGUCAAACCAUGAGUUUUUACCCCCAUGUUUCAAAGGGAAUGCUUUUGUGUCUUCUAUACAACAAGGGCAAGCUAACUUGCCCAUAGUCAACUAACCAGACAUCAUUCCAUAAGCAAGAAAGUUAUUUAUAGUCCACAUCAAAGUAGCACGCAAUCUAAAGUUUUGUUUCAUUGAUACAUCAUAUGCUUCCACACCUUCAUACGACAAUAUGUUCAACUCACCAAUCAAUGGCUGCAGAUAUACAUCAAUCAAAAAUUUUGGAUUGCGAGGACCUAGAAUAAUACAAGUUAUAAAUAUAUGUUGACUCAUCAUACACAAUUCAGGUAGGAGAUUAUAAGAAGUCACAAAUACUGGCCAACAUGAAUAUGGUGUAGCUGAGACAGAAAAUAGAGUGAAUCCAUCAAUAGUUAAUCCCAACCUAAUGUUUCUUGGUUCACUAGAAAAAUCCGAAUACACACUAUCAAAAUGCUUCCAUGCUUCUCCAUCUGAUGGAUGACAUAAAACACCAGGUGGUCUUUUAUUUUCAUAGUGCUAUCUUAUAAGAGGGGAGAGCUCAUUAAUGCAUACAACCUCUUUAACCAUGGUAUAAGGGGUAAGUAAUGCAUCGACUUCACAGGAACCUUCUUCCCUUUGGCAUGUGUGACUUCCUUAUAAUGAGGCUGAUUGUAAAAUUUGCAAUGUUCUAAAUUUGCAUCUUCCUUAUAGAAUAACAUGCAACCUUUCCCGCAAUAGUGAAUCCUCUCUGAUGAAAGUCCUAACUUAGAAACCAACUUCUUUGUUGUGUAGAAAUAUUUGGGUAAGUCAAGUUUAUUUGGGUUAAGUUCAUUCAUAAGUCUAAUGAUAGAAUCCAUGCCCUUUUGAGAAAUAGAAUAAUCUGACUUAAUACUCAGUAACCGAACAACAACAGAUAGCUUAGAAUGCACUGAUCCUUCAUACAAUGGAUGACUAACUUCCUUCAACUGUUCAUAAAAGUGCUUAGCCUCAUCAUUUGGUUCAUUUUGAGCCCCUGAGUGUGUCCCAAAAGCAUCCCUGACCAUCUCACUAUAUCAUGAACUUUCAAUAUUAUUCUCUCUUAUUGGACUUUCAACAUAAUUCUAAAAAGAAAAAUUAUUAGCAGCACUACUCUCUCCAUGAACUGUCCACACAGUAUAAUUCAACAUAAAACCCUUCUUAUACCAUAACAGCUUCUGGACUCAAUAACUUACAACACUUGUAAUUCCAACAAGGACACCUAAUUAUCCUUUCAGUAAGAAAAUCAUUAAGUGUCAUUGCUUUAGUAAUAAAUUCAGCAACCCAGCUUUAUAUUCCUCCCUCAACCCCGCACGGUUAGGAUAAAGUCUAUUAUACAUCCAUGUACAAUCUUUAUUUUCCAUCUACACAAGAAUGACAACAAUAAUAUUACAGAAUUGAAAUGAAACACUAACAGGUUUGUUUAAAGAUGCUACUACGCAGUGGACACAAGAAGAAAACUAAGAGAUUCAAUACAACAUAGUAAAGCAGCCAGCAACAAUAGAAUAUUUUAAUUAAAAGAAGAAUUUUUAUAUCAGUGAAAGGAAUCCAACUUGAAAAAUUUGUACGUUAAUGAUUCGUAAUGUAACUUCCCAACUUGCAUUGGGAUUUUUUACAAAAUAUGACAGAUUCCAAAGAAACAAAAACUAUUUAACCAAAUAUUUCCACAUCAAAAAGGGGGAAAAUCCCUUACCUUAAUAGCUAAUUAUCUUCUGGUGAUCAAUGUAGUUACUAGACUCGAUCGAGCAGCUUUGAGUUAUACUCUGUAAAAAACUGAAACCAGAACCACAAGACGGUGUAUGAGUUAACACUACUGCCCACGGGGUCAACACUCGACAAUGAAAAAGAUUACUUCACAAUCAUGUAAUCAUAACAAAGAACUUAAUAGUGUAAGCGAAACUAGAAUUGAAGAAAGUAGCUUAGGAACAUUAUGUACAUUAACAAAAAUUAUAUUACAAAUGUACAUAAUAAAGUGAACUUUGGACAAAAAUACUUGAUGCAAAUCCCCCUUUUGUUCAAAUAUUUCUUUCCCAAGCAUAAAGAUAUCAUCCUUGCAGCUCCUCCAGGUACUUUUGGUUGGCCUAUUAUUGGAGAAACCAUCCAAUUCCUUGUAGCACAAGUUUGUUGAAGAAAGGACCAAAAAUACAACUCUAAUGUAAUCAAAACCUCAAUACUUAGCCAAAAUGUGGUUAUUUUUUCAGGCCCAGCAGCUAACAAAUUCAUAUUCACUAAAGGCAAAAAACUUUUCAUUGGUUCGAGACCUAAUUUUGUUCAAAAACUUUUCAUGAAAGCUGGAAAUGAAUUAACGAAAGAAAUGAAGGUCAUCAUUGAAUAAAGAAGAGUCAAAUUACUAGAGAAUCUAGAGUUGCCAAAGGUUGAUGUGUUGACACAAUUAAUUAAUGAACAAGGUAAAAAUGGGAAGUACAUGACAGAGAUUGAAAUAAUGGACAAAGUGUUUGGUUUUAUUAUUGGUAGAUAUGAUACUACUACUACAACUAUUACUUUAACCAUGAAGUACCUUGAAGAGAAGCCUGAGUUCUUCACUGAAAUAAUACAAUUGUGAAAAGAUGUUCUAAGCUGAAAUAAUACCUUAAACCGUUUGUUUCAAUUUUAUUUAUAUUUGAAACUAACAGCAGUUGCUUUCUAAACUAGCACAAAAGUAAUUUCACAAAUUUGAAAUAAAAACCAUCUAAAAGUCUUUGGUUAACUUGCUUAUAGUUUUAUUAAUUUUACAAAUGUGUAAAUACCUUUCAAAUCGGUGAGCUGGUAAUUCAGGAACAUAAACCUAUAAAAGAAGUAGUAUAACAAAUGGUCGGCAGGUGAUACUGGAAAUUUUUUAUGCAAAGAAGCAGUAUAACCAAUCAUCUUUAACACUACUCAGAAGUAUUUUUUCCAGAUUGUUGCAGUGAAAAACAAGCCAAAAUAUGUAAUUGUACCAGCUUGUAUGGGGAACUAAAAAUUUGUUAUGCAAAGGUUCCUCAGAUCAUUCAUGUCUUAGAAUAAGAAAUCCAAGAAGAAGAAGAAGAAGAAUAUGGCUUCUAAAACCAAUAAACUAUAUAUGAUCAUAUAAUAUCAUCUUCUACUUACGAGACAAGCAGACAAGUACUAAUGAAAAAACUACAAUCCUAGGAACAUAACAGGAUAAAGUGCAUUGUCGAUAACUCCACUAGCACUUUGCCUACUUUCACUACCAAAAAAAUUACACUGUGGUUGUCAUACAUACCUGUUUGGGGCAACAAAAUUCAAUCUUACAUACAAACAAUACACAAAAACACCCAAAAUAUACCAAAUUUGAACAAAUGAUAAUAAUGAACACACGACACCCACAAGGUAAUUCUAUAAACUAAAUUCUAUAAACUAUCUAUUCGAAAUAAAAGACAACACCGAAUACCACUAACAAGCAACUACCGGCGUAGAUACAAACAAAAGCAUACUAUGUAUCACAACUUUAAUUUGGCUUGGCAAUUAAAAGAACCAAACUUCAGCUCGUGCAUCUACACUUUUACUACAGAGGUUGUCUGGUAGAUACUUGUAUAAGUAGUAAAAUAAAAUUGGGUUAACGUUCAACUAAUCUAAUCCAUAUAAAAAACUUUCAACAUGAAGAUAUCAAAUCAACUAUAUCCACAAUGUUCAAUCUAUGAGUGCAGAUUGAAUGUUGUGCAGAAAAAUAUGUCAAGAGAUACAGUAUAGCUUCAUCAAAAUGAACUGAAACAAGAUUCAGAUACAGAAACAUUCUAUUUGGAAGAAUAUAUGUACACAAAAAGCACUAAAUAAGCUAUCAGUUGCCCAUUUAUGCAACGUCACACUCAAACAACAUACGUGUAGAACAUGUCACACCAACUUACUGCACAAACUAAAUGCAUUUUUGCGAGCAAGGUACAUUUACAAAACCUAAAUAUAAAGUACUAACUAUUCCAUUAUACGAAUCAUAUUAAUUCUUCUAGUUCCAAUAAAACUUAGGCAGGUCCGAGAUGCUAAGUUCCAAUACGAUUCUUCAAAUUCUCACCUAGAAAGGCUAUGCUGCUCGUAUUAUCUCAUCAAUCAACUAUGCCACAAUCCAAAACUAGUUCACUCCAGCUACGCGCCAUAAAAACCACUUCACUAGGAUGCAAAAAAUGUAAACUUUGGACAAAGACACUUGAUGUUAAUCCCCCUCUUAUACAGAGACAAGUAAACACCCACAAAAUUAUUUAACUUGAAAGCACAGUAAGAAAAAGCUUGGUUACAAAACCUUUCAUAAAAAAUGACCACUAAUUCACAGAUUUAGCCAACACCUUGUAGCACCAACAUUGAUUUUUAAAAUUCAUAAAAUCUUGUAGAAAAUGGAUCAAAUUUUUACCGUGAAGUACCAUCGUUCAGUGAAAUUGACCUUUACUACUGUCGUUCACCGCCGUCGUUACCACUCCACUAUCGUUAAUUUUUUAGUGAGAACGAUGAACGUCGUCAAGUUCAGGAACCUUAGCUUAGAGAGAGAGAGAUGAAGUAGAGAGUGAGAGAGAGCUGUGGUGCGUUUAGCUUAUAUUUUUUUCUAUAAAUAUAUUUGAAAAUUAAAUAUAAAUUUCUGACUACUUCAGUCAGGUAGUAAUUUAAUAUAUUUAAUUAUUUAAGUUUUUUUACUACAGUAGUCGAAAAGACAUAUUUAAUAAUUUAUUUAAAUAAUUAUUUAAUUUUUGUAGACGAGCCUGAUGAUACAUUUAAUAUAUUUCCGACUACAGUAGCCGAAAAUACAUAUUUAAUAAUUUAUUUAAAUAAUUAUUUAAUUUUUGUAUAAGGGUCUGAUUAUAUAUUUAGUAUUAUAUUUAUUUAUUUAUUUAUUUAUUUAUAUUUUCAUGUACUGUAGUCGGAAAAUAAUAUUUAAUACAUUUAUUUAAAUAAUUAUUUAAUUUUUGUAUUAGGUCUGAUUAUAUAUUUAAAAAUAUUUUUAUUUAAUUAUUUUUAUUUACGACUAUAGUUGUCAGAAAUACAUAUUUAAUAAUUUAUUUAAAUAAUUAAAUUAAUUUUUGUAUAUAUUUUCGACUAUAGUAGUCGAAAAUACAUAUUUAAUAAAUUAUUUAAAUAAUUAUUUAAUUUUUGUUUAAGGGUCAGAUUAUAUAUUUUGUAUUAUAUUUAUUUAUAUUUUCGACUACAGUAGUCAGAAAAUAAUAGUUAAAAACUAUUUAAAUAACUAUUUAAUUUUUGUAUUAGGUCUGAUUAUAUAUUUUAAAAUAUAUUUAUUUAAUUAUUUUUAUUUACGACUAUAGUUGUCGGAAAUACAUAUUUAAUAAUUUAUUUAAAUAAUUAUUUAAUUUUUGUAUAGGGGUCUGAUUAUAUAUUUAGUAAUAUAUUUAUUUGAUUAUUUAUAUUUCCGACUACAGUAGUUGGAAAUAUAUAUUUAAUAAUGUAUUUAAAUAAUUAUUUAAUUUUUGUAUAAGGGUCUGAUAUAUAUUUAGUAAUGUAAUUAUUUAAUUAUUUAUAUGUCCGACUAGAGUAGUCGAAAAUACAGAUUUAAUACUUUAUUUAAAUAAGUAUUUAAUUUUUGUAUAAGGGUCCAAUUAUAUAUUUAAUAAUAUAUUUAUUUAGUUAUUUAUAUUUCCGACUACAGUAGUUGGACUAUACAUUUUUCACAAUUUUUGCCAAGCAUUUUGACUGUUGUAGUCACAAAUAUUAUCGGAAUAAUAUUUUAUAAAAAAAAAAAUUUUGACCAAAGUAGUCGAAAAAUUCCGACUACUUUUUUUCAGUCGGAAAUUAGCGAAUUUCUGAUAGUGAGAGGGUUUGACCCUUUGUAGUAAUCCUUGCGUUAUAGAACUAUGUAGCCAACAUAGGUUGAGAUAUCUUCUUGCCAGAUACUAUGAGGGUUGAUACAUCUCAUUUUAGUUUCCUACCAGCGAGGGUUGACGAAAGAGCUUCCUAUCAGAGAGGGUUAACUCACAGCUUGUCUCUAUCUGUGGCACGGUAUUGACACCCUUCCAACUGGGGUUACAGGUUGGACCCCAAUCAGUUCAGAGAAGGGCAUGUCAGUUAGAUGAUUACCUCUCACAGUCUCAGUUUUAGUCUUAGUCUCAGAAUAAAACUCAGUUCAGUUUUACAGAUUCAGGACUAUCAGAUAUAGUCACUCAGCCUAGUAUGAAACUCAGUAUAGUUCCAUAGAAUUAGGACUAUCAAAUACAGUCAUUAAGAUAUCAGUAAUUCAGUAUCAGCAUACUUAGAUAACAGUUAAUCAGUAUUCAGAUUCAGUAUUCAGUAUUAUCACAAUCUCAGUUAUAGUAUACGUAUUCAUACAUGCAUUCUUAUUCAGUCAUACUCAUGUUAUUCAGUUAUUAUUGUUCAUGCAUAUGAACCCAUGUAUUUUAGCCUACCUCACUGAGCAUACCAGUAUAUUCAAAGUAUUGAUGCAUACUUUUCUUUUGUGCUAUGAUGUCUUAUAUCAUAGGUUCAAAUGCACGGGCUCCAAAGCACCCUUAGCAAUUUAGAUUUUCAGCAGUCAGCGUAGAGGUGAGUCCUCAUAGUUCGAGGGCAUGGUUAUUUUUUAGUAUUAUUUUUAGUAGUCAGAGUUAGUUGGGGACUUGUCCCAUCAACUCCAUAGUUCAGAAAGUUUAGAGGCUUUCCAGACUAAAGUAUUUUCAAACAGUUUUUCAAUUUUCAGUAUUGAUUUUUAGUUUUGGUAUUGUGAUAUCAUAUCCAGUAUUAUUUACAGUAUUGAACCUUAUGGCCAGUUUUUUACCUACUUUCUGCAUAUAUACCGUAUUAUUAUUCAGUUACUACAGCAGGUACCAGUCAUGGGUUAGCUUGUGGUCCUUCGAGAUUAUGAGCACCGUGUAGCGUCCAGGGUACAGACUUUGGGCAUUAUAAGAAGAUAAAGGAUACUAUGGGGUGACAUCUAGUCAGAGUGCUGAGUUAGUUACAUAUCAGUUACAGGAUAUAUCACAUACUUGGUUUAAGCAGUAGAAAGAGUUGAUAGGGAUGUAGAUGUAGGGCUUGUAGAAUGGGAAAAGUUUACCAUAGUUUUCUUAGACAGAUUCUUCCCAUUGGAGUUGAGGGAGACCAAAGUGUUAGAGUUUAUUCACUUGAGGUAGGGCAGCAUGAGCGUGAGGGAGUAUUCCCUUAAGUUUACUCAGUUAGCUAGUUAUGCUUCUUAUGUGGUUGCGGACAACAGGUCCAAGAUCAUUAUGUUUGUGUCUGGCGUAGCUGAUAGCGUGGUCAAGGAAUACCGGACCGCAAUGCUUAUUAGUAAGAUAUACUUGUCUAGGUUGAUAGUCCAUGCUCAAUAGAUAGAGGAUCAAAAUAUUAAGGAGAGGGAAAAGAGGAAACAAGAGAGCUAGGACGGGUAGUUUUAAUUUCAAUCAGCCAAAAUCAGAAAGUGGUAACCAUCCUCAAUUUCAUCAGAGGUCUACAGCCCCAGCACCCUCUUCAGCCAGUGCCCCAGUACCCAAAUUUAGAAAUGACAAUAGGUAUAGGGCACCAGGCUCUACGUCCCAGGUCAGUGUUAGCAGUGCUCGUACAAAUCUUCUAUGUCAGAAAUAUGGCGAACAUCAUCAGGGUGAGUGUAGAGCGGGUAGUGAUGUGUGCUUUAGGUGUGGUAAGCCAAGCCAUCGAAUUUGACAAUGUCGGGUAGUUCCUCAAAAAGGUAGGGAUAUGCGCCAACAGGGUGUAAUGCCCCACAAAAUUCAAAGCUUUACUCAGUCCGUUAAAGCUUAAAAAGGGUCCUAAACUUAGAAACUUCAGCUAAGUGUUUACACUUAGAAUCUUUUUUUAGCCUUCAUAAGUUGGAAAUCUUAUUUCUCGACCCAUACAACCCUUAAAUGUCGAUCUUUAAGUUGAUUCAUGAUCAGCUAUGUCAGUAGGUGUUGCCGAAUAAGUUUCAAAUCUUUUGGACCAUGUUUAGACCAUGUUUGAGGUAUCAAAAUAGUAGACCAACGCGAUCUAGGCGCGCCGCAUCGCCUAUCACGUUGGUUAACAUUGUUGUAGGUUGCCAAAGUCAAAAGUGCUGAGGCUCGACAUGAUCAUGAUGUGAUGCAUCGGGUAUCGCAUCCAUGCCAUCGACGAGCCGCGUUGACUAGCGCAUCGGCACCCAAUUUUCUAGUCAUUAAAAUAGCCGCCGCUCCAGGGUUAUUUGAGUCUUUUUCCCACUCUUAUAUAAAUCUAAAACACGUGAUUCAGCCAUAUUUUCACCUAAACUAUAGUGGUUUCUCUCAAUUUCUCUCAAGAACAAGUUUAGAGUUUCCAAUUGAAGAUCCAAAUUCAAGAAAAUUCCACCAUCAAUCUUCGUAAAAUCAAGAACUAAGGUAUGUUAGAUGUUGAUUCUUAAGUUCCUUCCAUCCAAGAAGUUCAAGAAUCCUUUUCUAAAUUGAAAGAUUAUAUAUUUAUGAGUUUUCAUGAUUCAUGUGAAUUGAAAUUGAAGUUCAUAUUGUUAUUGAGUUUUAAUUCAUGUUUUGUUUACAAAGUUCCAAGCUUUGAUCCUAGUAUGUGAUAUUUAUGUGAUGUUUAUGAUAAACCCCUUUAAGAUGCAUGUUGAUUGAUGUAACCAUGUUAAUUAGGUGUAUUAAAUAAAGUAUGCUCCCCAUAUCUUUGAUAAAAUGCUUAUGUGACGAAAAUAGAGUCAUUAUAGCAUGUUGACAAGAAAUCCCCAAUUGUGUAUAAGUUAAUGCAUGUCAAGUGUUUGUUGAAAGGCCUUUAGAUAAGACUGACAUACUCGGGGAUCACCCGCUAGUAUAGGACUGAUCUCAGGGGUCACCCACUAGAUUAGGACUGACUCCAUAGCAUUUGUCUUUACCCGUGGCACGGUAUUGACACCCUUCCGGCUGGGGUUACAGGUUGGACCCCACUAGUUCAGAUUCGAGGUAUGUCAGUUAGAUGACUAUCUCCCACAAUCUCAGCUUCAGAAUCAGUCUCAGUAAAAGAACUCAGCUCAAUAGCAUAGAUUCAGGACUGUUAGACAGUCACUCAUUAGUAUUAUCAAUGGAUUUAGAGAUCACCCGCUAGAUAGGACUGAUCUUAGAUUUAGUUAAGUAGUAUAAGUAUCAGUACCAAUAGAUUCAGAGAUCACCCGUUAGAUAGGACUGAUCUCAAAUUAUAGUCAAUUAGUAUCAAGUACCAUUAGAUUCAGAGAUCACCCGCUAGAUAGGACUGAUCUCAACCUCAGUCAAUCAGAUAUUAGUAUCAGUAGACUCAAUUAUCAGAAAUCCAGUUAUUAGAAUUUGGUAUUCAGUGUUCCUAUGAUUUCAGUUAUAGUUUGUUCAUUCAUGUAUGUAUCCUCAUUCAGUAUACUCAGAUUAUUUAGUCAGUAUUGUUCAUGUAUAUGAACCCCUACAUUUAGCCUUACCUAAUUUAGAAUGCCAGUAUAUUCCAUCAUACUGAUGCAUACUUUUCUAUGCUAUGGUGUAUUAUACCAUAGGUUCAGAAGCACGAGAUCCAGAGCACCCUUAGUGGUUUAGAUUCAGUCAGCAGCAGUAGACAUAGUAGUAAGUCCUCAUUAUUCGAGGAUAAUAUUUAUUUUAUGAUUGCACUAGAUUCUAUAUUUUUAUAGAUGGAGUUAGUUGGGGACCUGUCCCAUCAACUCCAUAGUGCAGACAGUUUAGAGGCUUUUCAGACAGAUGUAUCAGUAUUCAGUUUUCAGUUGUAUUUCAGGUAUUUGAACUUUAUGGCAAGUUUUUUGCCAUUUUUCCACAUUUUUACAGUAUAUUAUUCAGUGUUCAGUUACAGAUAUCAGUCAAGGGUUAGCUUGUGGUCCUUCGAGAUUAUGAGAACCAUGUAGCAUCCGGGGUACCAGACUCGGGGCAUUACACAGGGCCAGUCCCAUUAGUCGUCAGUUCCAUUCGAUCACUCGACUCAGUACAGUGUCACUUCUAGUGCUACCAGUGGUCAGCGUUUGAACAAAUUAUAUGCUCUUCAGUCCUGCCAAGAUUAGGAAAAUUCUCCUGACGUAUUUACUGGUAUGUUCCAGGUAUUUCACUUAUAUGUUUAUGCUUUACUAGACCCUGGAGCUUCUCUUUCUUUUGUAACUCCAUAUAUAGCUGUCAACUUCAGAGUCAGUCCCGAAACUCUAGCAGAGUCCUUUUCAGUGUCUACCCCAGUAGGCAUUUCCAUUAUAGCUAGAUAGGUAUACAAGAACUUUCCAGUCAUAAUAUCUCAGAAAGUUACCUCAGUUGACGUAGAGUUAGAGAUGACGAAUUUUGACGUCAUUCUUGGCAUGGAUUGGCUUCACUCAUGCUAUGCCUCAGUUGAUUGUAGAAAUAAAAUAGUUUAUUUUUAGUUUCCAAAUGAACCAAUCCUUGAAUGGAGGGGUAGUACUACAGCUCUUAGGGGUCAGUUGAUUUCAUACCUUAGCACGGGAAAGAUAAUAUCGAAGGGGUGUAUUUACCAUCUUGUGCGAGUCAAAAACCCUAACUCAGAAACUCCAACUCUUGAGUCAGUUCCAGUAGUAAAUGAAUUCUCAGAUGUAUUUCUUGAAGAUCUGCCCCGAUUUUCUCCCGAAAGGGAAAUCGACUACGGAAUAAACCUUCUCCUAGAUACUAUGCUUAUAUCUAUUCUGCCAUACAGAAUGGCUCCAGCAGAACUUAAGGAGUUAAAAGAACAAUUAAAGGAUCUCCUAGAUAAAGGAUUCAUCAGACUCAGUGUCUUCCCGUGGGGCACACCUAUUCUAUUCGUGCAUAAGAAAGAUGGUUCUCUCAGAAUGUGCAUAGACUACCGUCAGUUGAACAAAGUCACAGUCAAGAAUAAAUAUCCACUUCCUAGAAUCGAUGACUUAUUUGAUCAACUUCAGGGGGCCAGCUAUUUUUCAAAGAUAGACCUCAAAUCUGGCUAUCAUCAGCUCAGGGUCAGAGAAUGUGACAUUCCGAAAAUAGUUUUCCAAACCCCGUAUGGUCACUUUGAUUUUCUAGUCAUGUCCUUUGGUCUUACCAAUGGCCCAGCAGCUUUCAUGGACCUGAUGAACUGAGUGUUCAAACAGUACUUAGACAUGUUCAUCAUAGUCUUCAUUGAUGACAUUCUUAUUUACUCUCGUAGUGAAAAUGAUCAUGCAGACCACCUCAGAAUAGUACUUCAGACUCUUAGAUCUUAUCAGUUGUUCGUUAAAUUCAGUAAGUGUGAAUUCUAGCUAAGAUCAGUAGCUUUUCUUGGCCAUAUUAUUUCUGGUGAUGGCAUUAGAGUUGAUUCUCGAAAGACUGAAGUGGUGAGAAAUUGGCCUAGACCCAUCUCUCCAUCAGAUCUCAGAAUUUUCUUGGGUUUAGCUGGCUAUUAACGUUGGUUUUUUAAAGGGUUUUCUUCUAUUAUAUCCCUCAUAUCCAAAUUGACUCAGAAGAAAGUUAAGUUUUAGUGGUCAGAUUUAUGUGAGAAGAGUUUUUAAGAGUUGAAGAUUCGACCCACCUCAGCCCUAGUCUUAAUUCUACCAGAUAUUUUUGUUGUGUAUUUUGAUGCAUCUAGGGUAGGUUUAGGUUGUGUCCUCAUACAGAGAGGUAAGGUCAUAGCCUAUGCCUUCAGACAGCUUAAACUCCAUGAGAAGAAUUACCCUACUCCUGAUCUUGAGUUAGCAGCUAUAGUGUUUACCUUAAAUAUUUAGAGGCAUUACUUGUAUGGGGUGCAUGUAGAUGUGUUCAUAGAUCAUAAAAGCCUUCAGUAUGUGUUCUCUCAGAAAGAUUUGAAUCUGCAUCAGAGAAGGUGGUUAGAGUUAUUAAAAGAUUAUGACAUGAGCAUCCUGUAUCAUCUGAGCAAGGCUAAUGUAAUGGUUGAUUCUCUCAGCAGAUUGUCUAUGGGUAGUGUUGCUCAUGUUGGGGAUGGUAAUAAGAAAUUAGCUCAGGAAGUCCAUCAGCUUGCCCGACUAGGUGUCCUCUUAGUCGACUCAGUAGAGGGUAGUGUGUGGGUAUAGAGUAGCUCAGAAUCAUCUCUAGUUUCUGAGGUAAAGGAAAAAUAGGAUAGAGAUUCCAGUCUAGUAAAGUUGAAAGAAUCAGUUAGAGACCAAAAAUUAAAGGUUUUCUCCCAAGGGAGAGGUGGUGUGUUGCAUUGUCAAGGUAGAUUAUGUGUGCUAGGUGUAGAUAAUUUGAGGCAACGAAUUCUUGCAGAAGCACAUGGUGCGCGUUACUCUAUUUAUCCAGGGGCCACUAAGAUGUACCAUGAUUUGUGAGAGAUCUAUUGGUGAAGUAGGAUGAAGAGAGAUAUUCCAGAGUUUGUAUCUAAGUGCUCUACAUUCCAGCAAGUUAAGAUUGAGCAUCAAAAACCUAGUGGUUCCAUGAAGGAGUUCAGUAUUACCACUUGGAAGUGGGAGGAAGUGAACAUAGAUUUUAUGAUAGGUCUGCCUCGUACCCAUUAUCAGCAUGAUUUUAUCUAGGUUAUCAUAGAUAGGAUGACCAAAUCAACUCAUUUCUUGCCAGUCCAUACCUCUUAUUCAGCUGAGGACUAUGCCAAACUCUAUCUUAGAGAGUUGGUCAGGUUGCACGGUGUUCUCUUAUCUAUCAUCUCUGAUAGAGGUACCCAGUAUACCUCUCACUUCUAAAAGGCAUUCCAAAAGGGUCUUGGUACCUAAGUCCACCUCAGUACAUCCUUUCACCCUCAAAUAGAAGUUCAAACCGAAAGGACCAUUUAGACUCUAGAAGAUAUACUGAGAGCAAAUGUUGUUGAUUUCAAGGGUAGUAAGGAUGACCAUUUGCCUUUGAUUGAAUUCACAUAUAAUAACAGCUAUCAUUCUAGUAUCCAGAUGGCUUCUUAUGAAGCUCUCUAUGGUAGGAGAUGUAGAUCUCAUAUUGGUUAGUUUAAAGUAGGUAAGGCCACAGUAGUAGGGCCUGACUUGGUGUUUGAUAUAUUAGAGAAGGUUCAGCUGAUCAGAGAAAGACUUAGGGCUGUCCAGAGCCGAAAGAAAUCAUAUGCUAAUGUGAGGAGAAAGGAUCUCGAGUUUGAGGUCGGUGAUUUCGUAUACUUGAAAAUCUCUCCCAUGAAAAGAGUGAAGAGAUUCGCAAGAAAAGGAAACUCAGUCCCCAAUAUGUCGGUCCCUUCAUAAUUUUCAGUUGUUUUGUAAAGGUAGCUUACGAUCUUGAGUUGCCUUCAUAUUUAGCCUUAGUAAACCCAGUGUUCCAUGUAUCAUUGUUGAAAAAGUGUAUUAGUGAUCCACCAGUAGUUGUUCCCUUAGAAAGUCCAGCUAUUCAGAACAAUAUUUCCUUUGAGGAAGUUCCCAUCGAAAUUCUUGAUCAUCAAGCUCAUAGACUAAGGAACAAAUAAAUUCCAAGUUCUUUGGAAGAAUCAGUCCGUUGAGGGAGCCACUUAGGAAGCAGAGGCUGAUAUGCAGACCAAAUACCCUCAUCUUUUCUCCACGAAUCCUGAUUCAGUAUAAGGUACUAAUCUACUUAAUAUUUCUCUCUAUCAUGCUAAGUUUCAGUUGCACAUCAUGUUCAUGUCAAUCGUCCAUUUACAAAUCAGUUCAGUCAUGCAUUCCAUGCAUCAGAUAUGCAUGUUCAGUGUGUAAGCUUAAUCCAUCAGUUUCCUCAGCUUAACCAGUUUUAUUCGAGGACGAAUGAUCCCAAGGCGGAGAUAUUGUAACGCCCCAUAUUUCCCUAGCAUAACCUACACCCCACUACAUGAGUAUUCAUAUACAAAAUUUUUGAAACACUCAUUAUUUUUCAGUUUAGAGUCUUCCAUUGUGUAGGAAAUUCAAUUAACUUUCUAACGAUAUAAAAUUUGCCUAAAUUCGAUAAUCGAGUAAGAAGUUAUGGCGAUUUUAAGUUUUAGUCAUUAAACACCGUUAUUUUAACGCGUGUUGCAUAGGCAGCCCAAAUGACAAUUUUCAAUUUCUAGUGUGACUCCAUAAUUAUGGUGAGUCGCGAGUAGUCCAAUUUCCCAUUUGUCAAUUUCCAGUGGGCCUCCGUGAUGUUGGCGCGUCGCGGAUAUGGCCAAAAUGGCAUCUAAAGGCUUACCGUGAUAGUGGCACACCACGCCGUCACCCAGUUCCCAGUUGUCAAUUUUCACUGACACGGCGCGAUAGUGCCGCGUCGUGCUAGGUGCCCAUUUCAGGAAAAUUCAAUGAAAAAUUGAUAUUUCGUUCAGGGAUAAAACAGUCCUUUCCCCAUUAUUUUAGUCCAUCCAGGUGUGAUAUUUAAGCCCAAAAAAUAUUUUUUAAAAAACAUUCUUUAAAUAACUUUCCCCAAAUCAAAAGGCAUUCUCUCCCAAUCAAGAACCCUAGCUCUAAAAUUCAAGGUCAAUCCCCAAGAACUUUAAGAAAUCUAUCAAUUAAGGUAUGUUAGAUGUUCACCCAUGGAUUUCUUUCAUCCAUCGAGCCCAAGUAACCCAUUUUAAUCACCAAGUUAUAAUCUUUUCAAGUUAUUAUGUUUUAAAUUGUGAUUUCACCCAUGAAUCUCCAUGAACUAUGAUUUUAUACCAUGUUACCAUGAGAUUAUUGUUAUUAUUCAAUCCUUCAUGUUUAAAUAUUAUUAUUUAUUAAAUUAAACCAUGAUUUAGAUCUAUUAUGUUGAAUAAAUGUUAUUUUACAAGUUCCAUAACAUUCCUAUGAUUGUUUUAAACCAUGAACUACAAGUGUUUGAUAAAAUGCCUUCAAGAGUAAUUUAUUUACUAAGAGCCUUCAUGUUUUAAUCUCCAAGUUUUAGUGUCAUUUUACUAUAAUUGUUUUGAGUCUUGGGGGUAUUGAAUACCCAAAAUCCAUAGUUGUUUAUUUAGUCUAGUUUCAGUACAUUACAGAACAGUCUUCAGAAUAUACUAUGAGCACUUCAGAAUAGUCAAAUAUCAGUCAGUUAAACUCAGAACAGUCUAGUACUUCAAUGUCUUUUAGUUGGAAGUAGGUUUUAGCACCAAGCGAGUGUAGGGAUGGCAGAUUCUCCAUCAGAUAGGCAGAGUUAUUAGUAGCAGUCCCUGUACUUAGAACUACGUAGCCAACGUAGGGUAUGAGAAGUCGCCCGUCAUAUUAGGAUUGACUACCUCGCAGGGGUCACCCGUCAGUUCAGGCUUGACACCAUUAGUCCUUUGGACAUUAUAUCAGUUUAGUGGAUCCACACAGCUAUCGUUAGUACCCAUGGCACGAUAUUAACACCCUUUUAACUGGGGUUACAGGUUGGACCCCGAUCAGCUCAAAUUGGGGAAUGUCGGUUAGAUGAUACCUCCCAUAGUCUCAAAUAUAGUCUCAAUUACAGUCUCAGUUUAUUUAUUCAGACUUAGUGUUAUUUAACCAAAGCAUACAGAUUUCAGUUAUUUUAGUAUAUCAGUUUACAGUAGUUCAUGUUAUAUGCUUGGUCAUGCAUACUCAGUAGUUACAGACUUUCAUACAUUUUUAGUAUCUACAAAUUCCAUGCUCUUUAUUCAGUAUUCCAUGCUUUAUAUGCAUAUCCAGUUAAUUAUUAGUUCUGUUCAUAAAACCUUGCAUAUCAUCCUACCUCAUUUAGCAUACCAGUACAUUAAAAAUACUAAUUAUAUACCUUUUCUUUUGUGCUAUGAUAUAUUAUAUCGUAGGUUCUGAUGCUCAGUUCUCAGCUCAUAAUUAAACUUAUCAGAUCCUCAGCAGUAGUAGUGGUGAGUCCUUAUACUUCAAGGACAGGCUUACUUUAUCUCAUGUCUCAGUUAGUAGUUAGUUGGAGUUAGUUGGGGCCUGUCCCAUCAACUCAUAUUUAGUCAGUCAGUUUUAGAGACUUUUCAGACAUUAGAUUCAGUUAUUUAGUAUUCAGAUAUUACAGUUAGUGAUCCAGUUUAUCAUUAUUUUAUCAAAUUUAGUAAGUUGUUUCUCUAGACUCGUGUUUCAGUUUUAAAUUCAGUUAUUAAAACCUUAUGGCAUGUCAGUAUUCUUUUAUAUUUAUGAUCAUGUUAUUUAGUGCUCACAGCAGGUAUCACCUCAUGGGUUAGCUUGUGGUCACUCGGGACUGUAUGCAUCGUGUGACAACUAGGGGUAGUCCCGGGUCAUUAUAGUAUCCAAGUAUGGUAUUUUGAGAUUAGGAGUUUAGUCUUCAUCUGUGUUACACCCUUAUGUGGGUCUCAGACAGCCAUAUUCACUAUGACUUCUCUUAUUGUAAGUAUAGUUAUGUCUUCUGAGGAUUAAAAGAGGUUUGAGAAAUCACUCGCUUGGGUCCUCCUAGGUUUAGUGGUGUUGUAGGCGAGGAUGCUUAUGAGUUUUUAAGGGAUGUUGCAAGGUUUAUAACCUUGGUUAACUUGAGUCACAUGGGAUUACUUAUACUACUUGUCAAUUGAGAGAUGUAGAUAAAGAUUGGUAGAGGUCACUUAUUGGUUGUAGACCUCUCAAUCCUUUUGAAAUGAAUUGGGAUCAAUUUUUCAAGCCUUUUUGAAGAGUUUUGUUCCUUACGGUCUAAGGAAUCAUAUGAGAGAUGAGUUUGAUCACUUGGAGUAGGGUUGCAUGAUUUGUUACAAAGUAUUAGUCAUAUUUAUAUGCCUUGUCUAGAUAUUCUUAUGCCAGUAUUCCACCGAGUCUAAAAAGAUCUGAAAGUUCAUGAAGGAAUUAGUUGUUUCCCUUCAACGAGCUAUGACUCAGAUGGUAGCGAAUAAAGUAUCAUUUUAGAGUAUAGUAGAUCAUGCUAGGAUGACUGGGUCUAAUUGUCAGGGUGAGUUCAAAGGUCACAUUACUCGAUGUAGAUAUUUUAUAGGUUUCCAUGGGAAUCAUGGAAGACUAGUUGAGGUAGCCUUGCAGGGUUCAGGUAUUAAGUCUUUUGUUCCAACAGCUUUUAGUAGUCAUCCUAGCUUAACCGUACCUUCUUCUGUUGAGUCGGUUCAUAAAGGUUUCUAUAUGUGUGAUGAGGUUCGCCAUUUGGCCAAGAAAUAUCCUCAUCGUGUUUACAAGGCUACUCUUAUAUCAACUGCGAUAGGUAGAGAUUCUACUAAAGGUACACUAGGCAGAGGUAGUGGUGCCCGUGGUGGUGGCCAUGGGGCAACCUAGUUAGAUGGUUGUCAUGGGCAGUGCUAUGCUAUACCUUCUAGACCAUAGCUAGAAGCUUCCAAUAUCGUCAUCACAGGUAUCAUCCUUAUAUGUUUCAAAUUUGUAUUUAUGUUAUUUGAUUUGGGAUCGACUUUCUUCUAUAUGUCUGCAUACUUUGCUUUGGAUUUUGACUUUACUAGUGAGCCUCUUUCCUUGCCUAUCCAUGUAUCUACCCCUGUAGGAGACUCUUUAGUGGUGGACCGGAUGUACCAAUCUUAUGUUGUUUCUUUUGUAGGGCAUGAAACUUGAAUAGAUCUAAUUGUAUUAAAUAUGAUAGAUUUUGAUGUUAUCUUAAGUAUGGAUUGGUUAGCUCCUUAUCAUAAUGCCCUAGAAUGUUAUGCUAAGACUAUGACCAUAGCUUCACCAAGUGUGCCAAUGAUAGCUUGGAAGGUUGUGCUUUAUUUGUAACCCAAGAGAGUUAUAUCUUUUCUUCAGGCUCGUUAUUUGGUUAUGAGGGGAUAAAUGUCUUAUUUUGCUCAUAUUCCUAAUACGAGGGUUGCUUCACCUUCUUCCUUAGAUUCUAUUCAUAUUGCCCAUGAGUUCGUGGAUAUUUUUUUACGAAUUUGCCAGGUAUGCCUCUGGAUCUUGAUAUUAACUUUGUUAUUAAUGUUGACUCUGACACCAAGCCUAUUUUUAUUCCUCCUUAUGGGAUGGUCUCAGCAAAGUUGAAGGAAUUAAGGAUCAAUUACAAGAGUUUUUGGAUAAGGAAUUUAUCUGACCUAGUGUAUUUCCUUGGGUACGUCUGUGUUGUUUGUAAAGAAAAAUGAUGGGUCUAUGCAUUUGUGUAUUAAUUAUCGCCAGUUGAACAAGGUGACAGUUAAGAAUAAUUAUUCUCUUCCUUGCAUUAAUGAUUUGUUCAAUCAGCUUCAGGGUGCUUUGGUGUUUCUGAAGAUUGAUUUGAAAUCCGGGUAUCACCAGUUGAGGGUUAGAGCUUUAGACAUUCCAAAGACAACCUUUGGGACUCGAUACCGUCAUUAUGAGUUCUUUGUCAUGUCCUUUUGGUUGACUAAUAAUCUGGGGCGUAAUUAGAUGUCCAAUCACCAAUAUUCACCUAUAUUAGGACUUGUUGUAUAAGCUAAAAUAUGUUAUUCUUAUUGUAUUUGAACUGUAAUUGCAUUCCAUAUCUAAUGGACAUGAUUAGUUUAUGCAGGGUUAAAUUAUGAUAAAAUUGGAUGUAAUUAGACGCAUGAAUGAGAAGUUAACAAUGAAUGGAGCAAUGGGAUUGAUUUACUGAGAUAAGGAGACCGAAAGUUGGCUUGGAAAGUAGAGAAUGAAGCAAGGAAGAAUAAUUUGAGGUAACAAAAUCCAGUGACUCAUCGCGAUUAGACCGCAUCACCGAGCUAGACACAGGAAAUUAAACCCACAUCACGAUGAAGGGAAAUUCUUAAUUGGCAAAUUCUAGUAGCUCAUCGCAAGUAGACUGCAUCGCGGAGUUAGACACAGAAAACUAGCCUCGCGUCGUGGUAAAGGUCACACAUCGGGAAAUAAAGUCCAACUAUAAAAAGAACGAUUCAAUUCAAUAAGAAACACUUUGGAUACGUAAGCAAAGGUAGAAAAACACUACAAUUUCUCUCUUAGGGUUCUUUGAACUUCAUUAUUUCGAGAUUCCUAUUUGGUAGGAUUAAUUAUUCAUUUUUGAUCAUAAAUUCAAACACGAGUGGCUAAAGACUCAUGUUCUGGGGUUGAUGCCAAGAACAUGAUUUCACUUUGAUAUUAUUUAUCGUAGUUUAUUAUUGGAUUAUCGUAUGGGUUGUUCUUAAUCUCUUGUGCUUACUAUUUUUACGAGUGGCCACCAAUAGAAUAAACCUAUAUUCCUAUGUGAAUUCAGGAGAAGAAUCAUAGGAUAGAACGAAAAGAUUAAGGAUCAAGGUUCUCAUUCUUUUAUAAAGUAAGGGAUUUGAAUUAGCAUCUCGAAUAGAGAUAUACCUAGAAGCCUUGUUUGAUUCACUAGCAGAAAGAUAGCUUUAUGCAGCUAAAUGGAUUAUUACAUUCUCACUCAAUGAUGUAGUUACAAUGUCCAGUUAGGUAGAAGAUUAGAGGUCGGGAGACCAUAAUCAUACUAUAAAUCCUGCGAAUCAAUAACCUGAUAAUCAACUAAACUACGAUAGGAAUAGAAAUUUGUAAGAUUGUCGAAAGUGUCUCAAUCCUGAAAUUCUCAUCAUUAUUGUUUACAACCCCUGCUUACGUUGCUAUUGUUUCAUAUCAUUAUUUCUUAAUUAUUUAUAUUUUUCUUGGAAACUUCACAAUCAUCCUGAUACUUUAUAACACUUAAUAUAUUCUCGUCAAAAACUAAAGUUGGUUGAAUUUCUAGUUGCAUAGUCCUCAUGGGUACAAUAUCUGACUAUUCUAGUCAAUAUAUUACUUAUAUAAUCUUGGGCAUUUGCAUGUACGUUAGACCGCAACAAGUUUUUGGUGUCGUUGCCUUUGUAAGGGAGUGUGAUCAAUGUCAGCGAUUAGGUACACUAUCAAGGUGCCAUGAGAUGCCCCUGAACAAUAUUUUUGAAGUUAAGGUAUUUGAUCUUUGGGGGAUAUAUUUUAUGGGACCAUUUCCACCAUCUUAUAGAAAUUUGUAUAUCCUAGUGGUAGUUGAUUACGUAUCUAAGUAGGUAGAAGUUGCUUCCUUCCCACGAAUGAUGCGAGAGUUGUGAUGAAGUUUGUGAAGAAUCAUAUCGUCUCUUGUUUUGGAACACCCAGAGCUAUUAUCAGUAAUGGAGGUACGCAUUUUGUUGACACUUGGUUUAAAAAUCUGUUGGCUAAAUAUGGUGUUAGGCACAAAGUGGACAUAGCUUAUCACCCAUAAAUAAGUGGCCAAGUAGAGGUAUCUAAUCAGGAGAUCAAGCAAAUAUUGCAGAAGACAGUCAAUGGUCAGCGUAGGGAUUGGUCGAAAAAGCUGGAUGAUUCACUGUGGGCGUAUAAGACAGCCUAUAAAAUGCCCAUUAUCACCUCUCCUUAUUUCUUGGUAUAUGGGAAAGUGUGCCACUUGCCUGUGGAGCUUGAGCAUUAAGCUUAUUGGGCAGUGAAGAAACUGAAUCUAGAUAUGAAGGUUCCUAGUGAGAAGAGAUUGCUCAAACUGAAUAAACUCGAUGAGUUUCGUUUCCAUGCUUAUGAGAAUGCUAAAUUGUACAAAGAAAAGACUAAGCAAUGGCAUGAUAAUCACAUUCAAAAUUGAGCUUUUGAACCUGGACAACUUGUUUUACUUCAAUUCAAGAUUGAAGCUGUUUCCAUGUAAGCUAAGGUCCAAGUGGUCUGGGCCGUUUGAAGUUAUGAGAAUGACAUCUCAUAGGGAUGUUGAGCUAUGGAACAAGGAGAAGACUAAAAAAUUCAUGGUGUAUGGACAGAGAGUAAAGCAUUAUUGGGUACAUCAUGGGGAUCGGCACAAGACAUCCAUCACCUUUGCAGACAAAUGAAUUGAGUUGGGUCAUGCCACGAUGUUAACUAAGGCACUGCAUGGGAGGCAACCCACGAAUGUAAUGUAAUAGUGUAGUUUUUUUCUUAGUUGUUGAAAGAAAAAGAAAGAGAAAAAAUAUAUAUAAAAGAAAUCAAAAAUACAAAAAGAUGCGCCGUGCCACGACCAAAACUAAAGCGCUGAGUGAGAGGCAGCCCAUUUUUUUCUUAUGUUAUUUUGUUGUUUUUGUUUAGUGUGCAAGAAUGAGAGACUUCAAGGCAAAAUGGUGAGAGUUAAAAGCAAGUGAAUUUCACGUGAAAGGAAGCAAUCAGGUUUGUAAAAGAUACAUGCAAGUGAAGGGAUUAAGAAAAGGUAAGAAAAAGGGGGAUAGAAUGCACCAAAGGGGGGAUUUCUAGUGGCUUAUCGCGAUAAGGCCACGCCGUAGAGCUAGAUGCAGAAAACUAGUCCUGCGUUGUAGUGAGGUAAAAAAAAAGAAUAUGGGAUUUCCAGUGGCUUACAGCGAUAAUACUCAUCGCGGAGCUAGACACGGAAACCUAGCCCUGCAUCUCGGUAUGAUAAAUGUUUUAGGAAAAUUUAAUUAGAUUAUAAAAAUAUAUACAUUGUAUUUAAAAUCAAGGAUACGGAAGAGUAUAAAAGAUCUUUUUUAAAAUAAAAAGAUAUGAUUUAAUAUUUGAAUUCAAAUUUAAAUAAAGUUUAAGUUGAAAUGAAAUUUGAACUUAUUAACCUCUCUUAAUCUUAGAUUCAUCAAUCCACACAGCAGGGGCACGAGAAAUGUACAGCUCCAAUAUAAAUUAAGAAAAAUAUUGUGACUAAGUAAGGGUUGGGACAUGUACUUUAAAUAGGCACCCUUUCAAAAAUUAAUUUGAGAGAAAAUAAAAUAUAGGCCAUGUCGAGUUUAACCCGACCUGACCCUAUUUGUUUAUACCCCCUUUAUAGAUACCCCUAAAUUUUCCCAAAUUAUUUCUCACUUAAACCCUAGUGCGCUGCCUUAUUUCCUUAAACUCCUUCUCUUAAUUCUUAGCACAUAUAAGAUUGGAACAUCGAGACCCUUUCCCUCCUUCAAUUCAAUUCAGGUACUAUGGAUCAUCGCCAACAGAAAGGAAAAGAUAAGGCUGGGCCAUCCAAUCCCUCAAACAAAAGAAAUAAGCAAUCUGAUAGGGUAUUAAGAGCUUUGGAAGUUCCUCGUGGUCAGGUACGGAGAUAUGGAUAUAGGUGGGUUACCAAAGCUGACCAAAAAUGGUAUGCAAAUACAUUGAAACCAAGUACAUCCCAUAAGUGUUUAUUAAUAGGGAAAGCUUAUAGUGCGAGUAUCCAAGCAUGGUUUGUCAGUUGGAGAAAUUGCAUAUGACCUUUGUAUUCGAGAUGCCCACGGAGUGCAACCUGCACCUCAUCAGGGAGUUUUAUACUAACUGGGACCCUAGGGACCCAUACCAUGAGGUAAAGAUUCGCAAGCAAGUGGUCACCUUUACAGCCAAGAACUUGAAUAAAUUAUAGGUGUUCCCGAGGUUGAUGUAGAGCUAUUGAGGCAGCUGAAUAUUACCUCUCCAUAUGCCCAUCUCCGAUACCUAUUGUAUAGAACCACAUUUACCGCUAGAUAGACUCGGCAAUGAGGAACUGGCCUCCAUUCCACUUUUUAUUAUGCUCAAAUGAAUAAGGAGGCAUACAUAUAGGGAAAUAUCAUCUACCAUUGCCUUAUUCAGGGCAAACAUAUGAUAUCACACGUGAUAGGGUAUGUUUAAUUUAUGCUCUUAUUUGUGAUGACAUUUAUAUCAAUGUAGGUGUUGUUAUUCUUCUGCAAUGAAAAAGGUAUGAUACCAUGAAGGACGUCGAUAUGGAUUUACUACACUGCUAACCAUAUUCUUGAGAAAGCAUAAGGUUGAGGAAGAAGACUUGGAUUACAAGCCUAUUAUGGAUACGUGCCCUAUUAAUGUGUUGAGAGUUUGGAGUUUAGCUAUGGAUCAUGGGCCAAAACUCACUAUGCCCGACUGUCAGGCUCAAAAUGAUAAGAUUAUAGCUAGGAUGUAUGGGAUACAGAUAUUACAGUUGCGAGUAGAGGGAGACCAGCUAUGAAUGAAGAAAUUUGGGCAGUUGAGUUGGAUUUCCCUCUUGGUCACCUUGCCAAGACUUUACUACGGAUAGGUCCAAACUUUGUUGAGCCUAUUGAUGAUGACGUUCCCACUGAUGAUGAGAGGCAGUUACAAGAUUCAGAUAUUGAGUCAGAGGAGGAAAAACAUCCCGAUAUGAAAGUUGAGGAACAUGGUCCAAAUGAUGAUGUAGAUGAUAAUGACAUGGAUAAGACCUGACUAGAGAGUUAAAUUCCACCUCAUUACUUGGUCUUAUUUGUAAGCACUGGGACAGUGCUUUCUUUUAAGUGUGGGGUGGUGGUAUCCCAUAGCUUAUUCUUAUUCCUUAUACUUUGUUUUAUUUUGUUGGAUGUUUUUUAUUCUAUUAGAUGUUUUCCUUUUUGGGUGUUAUACUUCAUAAUUCUAACUGUUCAAAAUGAUACGGUCUGUAAUAGUUAGUAUUUAGUAAUGGUUUGCUCAUUAGUUUUAUGCUUAAUAGUUCAUUUUUGUUUUUGCCCUCAAGGCAAUUCUAAAUAAGUCGUAGUAGUUAGUUUUCCUCCCCUAUGAUGGAUGGAUGGAUGAUGACCGUCUUAAGGGGAGUUAGUCGCAGGAAAUCAAGAAGUGAUGAGAACAGAAUCACAACUUAAGGAGAAAUGCUUUGUGUUGGGCCAUUGGGACAGUGACCUGGAACAUAUUUGUCUUGAAAUAGAAGCAUGUCAUAAACUAAAAAGGGAGCUAAUUUUAGAUACUUAAUCUCAAUAGGUGUAAUUUCUGGUUCGUUGGCUUAAAAUUUGAAUUUGACAAAGUGCGAGAAUAGAAAUCAUAAGGAUCCGACUUGAAUCUAGCAUGCACCAAGAGAGAGAGUUGUUUUAGUUAUAAUCAUAUAGUGAUGUCUAGAAUUUUUUCGGUGUGUUUAUAAAGUGAAAUAAAGGAUGUUGGGUGUAGAAAAUGAUAUAGGCAUUUUCUUUGAUAGCCAUGUUUUAUACCUUCUUUUUACAUACCCUUGUGUAUAUCCCUAGUUAGCCCUGUUGAGCCUAUAACUUGAUUUAUUUGGUAGCCUCAUAUGAAGACUAAUCCCUUCAUUGAUUGACCUUAUUUUGAUACAAAGCUCCUAAGCACUUUAGUAUAAAAAUUAAUUGAGUAAGGAGUGUAAAAAAAAAAUAAAAGAAGAAAAGGUGAAAGUGAAGCCCCAAAGUAGUGGUUAUUAGUGUGUAAAGUUGAUGUGUUGUGGUUGGGAGUGAAAAAAAAUUGUUCUAAAAAAUUAAAUCAUGAAUUUACAUAAAAUACUCCCACUAUAUUAUAUGUUAAUGAGCUUAAUGGAUGGGGUAAAAUAAAAGAUGUGUGAAGGUAGUAAAGGUGAUAGUUGGUUUCUAGAGACUGGUCUUUGUUGUACAAUGUGAUGUAUUAAAGCACUUAGAGAGACUAGCCACUAUUUCCCAAAUAGUUCCUUUCUAUCCCUUAGCCUACAUUGCAACAAUGAAAGACCUAGUUGAUCAUUCAUCCCAACAUCUGACUAUUAGUGGAGUAGUACACUAAGGGCAAGCUUAUGGUUCAUUAUCUAUCAUGUAUGUGAGAAUGAGUAAUUUAAUUCUAAUAUUCCCAUUCUGUUGUAUAUGGUAAGAUUGUGAGUGAAUGUGGGAAACUUUCUUAUUGUAAGGGUGUAUGUGGAUGAUAGUCAGGUGACUUAUAGUGUUUGUAGAUUAAGUAUUUUGAUUAAGUUUGCCAACAAAUUGGAAGUUCACUAUUGAGGUAAAGAUGUUUGAAAAGAAUUAUCCCAUGUUUCCAGAGGUGAACUAUCAUGUUUUGAGAGAAAAGUCAUUGUUAGGUUUGUAGUGCCCAACACAAUCAUUUUACCUAGGUUGUGAUGUUAAGCUUAAUUGAGUAUAGUGUUGAUUGAAGUUGUUCAAGGACGCACAGGGUUUUAAGUGUGGGGUAGGGAUCUGAGACAUAAUUAUAUGCCUAAUCACCAAUAUUCACCCAUAUUAGGACUUGCCAUGUGAGCUAAAAUAUGUUAUUCUCAUUGUAUUUAAGAUUUAAUUGUAUUCCGUAUCUAAUGAACAUGAUUAGUUUAUGCAGAGCUAAAUUAUGAUAAAAUUGGAUAUAAUUAGACGCAUGAACGAGAAGUUAAUGACGAAUGGAGCAAUGGGAUUGAUUUGCUAAGAUAAGGAGACUUGAAGUUGGCUUGGAAAAUAGAGAAUAAAGCAAGGAAGAAUAAUUCGAGGCAACAAAAUCCAGUGACUCAUCAUGAUUAGACCGCAUCAUAGAGCUAGACACGAAAAACUAGCCCCGCAUCGCUGUGAAGGGAAAUUCUCAAUUGGAAAAUUCUAGUAGCUCACUGCGAUUAGACCGCAUCGCAGAGCUAGAUGCGAAAAACUAGACCCAUGUCGCGGUAAAGGCACACGUCGGGAAAUAAAGUCCAACCAUAAAAGGAAUGAUUUAAUUCAAUGAGAAAUACUUUAGAGACGUAAGCAGAGGCAGAAAAACACUAUAAUUUCUCUUUUAUGGUUCUUUGAAACUCAUUAUUUUGAGAUUACUAUUUGGUAGGAUAAAUUAUUUAUUUUUUAUGAUGAAUUCAAACAUGAGUGGCUAAACACCCUUGUUCUGGGGUUGAGGCCAAGAACAUAAUUGCACUUUGAUAUUCUUUAUUGUAGUUUAUUAUUGGAUUAUCAUAUGGGUUGCUCUUAAUCUCUUGUGCUUACUAUUUUAAUAAGUGGACACCAUUAUAAUAAACCUAUAUUCUUAUGUGAACCCAGGAGGAGAAUCAUAGGAUAGAACAAAGAGAUUAGGAGCAAGGUUCUCAUUUUUUUUAUAAAAUAAGGGAUUUGAAUUAGCAUCUAGGACAGGGAUAUACCUAGAAUCCUUAUUUGGUUCACUUGCAUGAAGAUAGCUUUAUGCAUCUAAAUGGAUUAUUGCAUCCCCGCUCAAUGAUGUAGUUGCAAUGUACAGUUAGGUAGAAGAUUAGAGGCCGGGAGACAAUGAUCAUACUAUAAACCCUGUGAAUCAAUAAACUGAUAAUCAACUAAACUAUGAUAAGAAUAGAAAUUUGUAAGGUUGUCCAAAGUGUAUCAACCCUAGAAUUUUCAUCAUUAUUGUUUACAAUCCCUGAUUACGUUGCUAUUAUUGCAUAUCGUUAUUUCUUACUUAUUUAUAUUUUUCUUUGAAUCUUUACAAUCAUCUUGAUACUUUAAAACACUUAAUACAUUCUGGACAAAAACUAAAGUUGGUUGAAUUUCUAGUUGCAUAGCCCUCAUGGGUAUGAUAUCCGACUAUUCUAGUCACUAUAUUACUUGUACGAUCGUGUGCACUUGCGUGUACGUUAUACCGCAACAACUAAUACCCUAGCCACAUUCAUGGAGUUGAUGACCGGGUAUUUUAACCAUAUCUUGACUCUUUUGUCAUUGUAUUUAUAGAUGAUAUCUUAGUUUAUUUCAAGAGUGAGGCUGACCAAAGAAGCAUUUGUCGAUUGUACUUCAGAGAUAGAGGGAUGAGAACUUCUACGAUAAGUUCUCCAAGUGUGAGUUUUGGCUUGAGUCUGACUCUUUCUUACGUCAUGUGGUGACCAAGAAUGAUAUUAUGGUCGAUCCGACUAAGGUUGUAGUGGUUCGUGAUUAGGCUAGACCACCUAUCCUACUGAGAUUCAGAGUUUUAUUGGUUUAGUAAGCUACUAUUGGUGCUUUAUAAGGGUUAUUCAUCUAUUGCAGCUCUGCUGACCAAGUUGACUCAGAAAAAGAUUUUUUUUUAGUGGCCUAAUCCUUAUGACGAGAGCUUUCAAAAACUCAGGAUUUGUUGAAUUCAGCUAAUAUCUUGACUUUGCCCAAGAAAGGCAUGGUUUUUAUCAUCUUUUGUGAUGCUUUAAGUAUUGGGUUAGGUUUUGUGUUGAUGUAGGAGGGUAAGGUGAUUACGUAUACUUCUCAUCAGUUGAAGCCCCAUGAGAGUAAUUACCCUACCCAUGAUUUGGAGUUGUAUGCGGUUGUUUCUUCUUUGAAGUUGUGGAGGCACUACUUGUAUAGAGUCUACUAUAAUAUUUUCUUAGAUCAUCAUAGCCUUCAGUAUUUCUUAACCUAGUAAGAUCUUAAUAUGAGGCAGCGUCGGUGGCUUGAGUUGCUUAAGGAUUAUGACUUGACUAUUCUCUAUCAUCUAGAAAAGGCUAAUGUGGUUGUGAAUGACUUGAUUUGGAAGUCGCUAGGAUGGGUUGCUUGGUGCAUCUUUUGAUACAUGAGAGACCUUUGUACUUUGAGGUUCAAUCAUUUUCUAACCAGAUGGUUAGGGUUGACAUUUUGAUACAUGGAUGUGUUUUAGUAUUUGUUGAGGCUAGGUAUUCCUUGAUGAAAUUGAUUCAGGCUCAUUAAUUUGAUGAUGUUGGGUUGACAGUGAUUCAAGAAAAGGUGUUGAGUGGUGAGGCUAAGGGAAGCCUCGCUUGAUGUUGAUGGUGUUUUGAGGAUUGGAGGCCAAGUUUAUGUACUGAAAGUAGGUGACUAAAUUAGAUUAAUUUUGGAGGAGGCUCAUUAUUCCUGAUAUUCCAUCCAUCUAGGAGUGAUUAAGAUAUAUCAUGAUUUGAGAUAGCAUUACUAGUGGGGUGGUAUGAGGAAGGAUGUAGAAAAUUUUGUAGCUCAUUGCCUAUGUUGCCAACAGGUAAAAAUCGAGUAUUUGAGGCCUGGUGGUUUGCUUCAGAGGUUACCCAUUUUCGAGUGGAAAUAUGAAUGGAUCACUAUGGACUUCAUGACUGGGUUGACUUGUAUUUCUCAUGGUUCUAAUGGUGUUUGGGUCAUCAUGGAUCGAUUGACCGAAUUUUCUCAUUUCAUUUCAAUUCAUGUUUCUUUCAGUGUUGAGAUCUUGGCUCGUAUGUAUAUUCAUGAGAUCAUUCGUCUUCAUGGUGUGCCAGUUUCUAUCAUCUCAAAUCGAGGUUCAGUGUUCACAUCUCACUUUUGGAAGACUUUUCAGGUAGAGUUGAGUGCCCGAGUUGAUCUUAGCCCCACUUUCACCCCAAACAAAUAGUCAGUCGGAACGGACUAUUCAGGUUUUGGAUGAUAUGUUCUAUGCUUGUGUGUUGUACUUUGGUGGUCAGUGGGAGCAGUAUCUUGCAUGGACAGAGUUGGCAUAUAAUAAUAGCUACCAUUCUAGUAUUGAGAUGGCUCAUUUUGAGGCUUUGUAUAGUAGGAGUUGUCUCUCUUCAUUUGGUUAGUUUGAUGUUUCUGAGAUUAUACCUCGAGCUAUGGACUUGAUUCGUGAGUCCUUGGAUAGCGUUCGGAUCAUUCAGGAUAGACUUCAAGCGGAUCAAAGUAGGCAAAAGUGUUAUGUGGAUUGUAGACUUCAUGCCUUGAGAUUCAGUAUUGGUGAUUGUGUCUUCCUUCGUGUAUCUCCCAUGAAAGGUGUGAUGAUGUUUGGGAUGAGGGGCAAGCUUAGCCCCAGGUAAAUUAGACCUUUUGAGAUCCUUUAGGAUAUUAGGGAAGUGGCUUAUGAGUUAGCAUUACCUCCAGAUUUAUUAGUUGUUCAUCUAAUUUUUCAUAUUUCUAUGCUUCGGCAUUACAUUCCAGAUGAGUCUCUGUUAUUCAUUGGGAUUCAGUUCAGUUAGAUGAGCGAUUGUCUUUUGUUGAGGAGCCCAUCUCUAUUCUAGCCAGGGAUGUUAGACGGUUAUAUUCUAGAGAUAUUCCAGUGGUUAAGGUCCAAUGGAAGUAUUGACUUGUAGAUAAGUCUACUUAGAAGGUCAAGUCCGAUAUGUGUAGUAGUUAUCCCUAGCUUUUCGCUGAUUCAUGUAUUUCAAUUGCCUUUAGUUUGAGGACAAACUAGAUUCUUGGUAGUGGAUAUUAUAAUGACCUAAUUGUUUGGUGAUUUGUGUGAAAUAUUUAUAUACAUGUAAUUUAACUAUUUUACCCCUCCCCGGGAUGCAUUACGGUAUUUUUGGGGUGUGGGGACAAUUGGCGUGGCUCCUAAUGCAUUUUGAUAUGAUUUGUGUGAAAUUGUGGCUUUGAUGAUCUUAAAGGCUUAUUAGAUAAGUUUGGUCAAUAUUUAUUGAUCAGUGUGUUGGAUGGCAAAACGGACUGCACCAGCAGAUUCAGAACGUCAAUUUUAGGUUGGUAACAUGGUUAGUAUGGUUUUACGAAUUUUAUUUCUUAUUUAGACUCUUGGUUUGGAAAGCUGCAAAAUUGAGUUUCUGGGGUCAAUUUUGUGAAAACAACAUUUUUUUGAAAAUCUGAUAUCGCCAUUGAGUCUGGAGCAUCGAAUUUAAUAGAAUAGCAUAAUUCGUUUGUGUACUCGGGAUUCCAAAUGAAUCCAAAGGGGUCCUCGGAGACUUGGAAUUCUCCAAGUCUCCAGCUGGUGCACUUGCUUAAGCGAUGCUUCGGUCACUUAAGCGACUUGGCCUGACAGCCAAAGUAUCCCUAAGCGACACCAAGCUCGUAAGUGAUUGUUGCUUAAGUGAUUGCCUGAUCGCUUAAGAGACACUGGCGUGCCAGACGCCUAUCACCUAAGCAACAGCUGAGUCACUUACGCGAUGAGGUGGGCUUCGCUUAUGCGACGCCUGAUCACUUAAGCGACCUGGUGGUCGCUUAGGCGAUGCCUGAGUGGAUUUCACCCUCAGUUUUAAAUUGUUUCACCACUUUUUAGAAUUGGAGCUAGGGGUUCAAGUUUUUGGGCAUUUUCUUCUAUUUGUAGGCUUGGGUAAGCUCUAAAUCCUUAUUUCGAUUAUUUUUCUUAGAUUUUUAUCAUUUAAAUCUUGUUUAAAGUUGGAAUUUGGGGAUUUUGGCCCGCAAGACCCAAAUUAGCCUUUCUUCAAAUCAAACCCCAAUUUCAACCCAUUUUCACUUAGGCUUUCUCCUAUGACUUCCUUUAAUCUUGAAAAAUAUGUUUUUGGACUCAAAUUUCAGUUUUAUCCUUCUUGUUCAAAAACCAUUUUGGGGUUCAUUUUGACCCCAAUUUGAAAGUGGGCAUAUGGGUAUCGUUUGUUUUUUUUUAUACGUAGAUUCUAUAUUUGAGUGUUUUAGCAUAUUUCUGGUCUGUACAUGAGGUGAAAGCUCGGUAUUAAAGGAUUAUUGUACCGAUAUCGAAAUUCGAGGUAGGUUAUGGUUUAACUUUCUUCAGACUGGGUUGGGUAGUUAAUAUGGAUAUAAAAUCAUGUUAAGGGUGUAGGAACCAAUCAUAAAAAUUAUAUUAUUGUGUCUUUCUCGUGUGGGGACCUAUGUUGUUAUGAAUUAGUGGUUUUGAGAUACUACGUGCAAUGUGUAAUCGUGUGGGGUCUUAUAUGAUGUUGUUGGCCUUUAUGUAUGUAUAUUUAGUGGAAUCUGUCUGGUAAAAAGCCUAAGUUGCAAUUUAUGUGGUAUCAAUGGCUUAUUGUUGUAUAAUUCACUCUAUUGAAAUAUGAUUAUGUUGGUUUCAUGGGUUGUUGUGCGUAUUGAGUGGUACUUGGCUCACAUGGUUGAAAUUUUUGUUUAUUUUUGGGAUCUCUUAUUCUAGUUGGUUGUGAGCAUUGCAUCAUCAUAUUAUAUACACUUGUGAACCAUUGGUACCAUUGAGUAAAUACUGAAAACACGGUUGCGUGACAUUAUUAUAGACCCUCUGCCGAGGUAUGUGUCGGAGAGGAGUCAUGGAUAAUGGUAUUGGAUAUUGUAUUAUAUAUGGGUUAACGAAUCCCCCAUGGGUCCUACCUCGGAUCAUAGCUCUGUAGGUGUAUAUAAAGGUUGUGCGACAACCUUAGGCAUCAUCAUCAUCUUCUUCAUUGCAUUUCAUAUAUAUAUAUAUAUAUACACACACACAUAUAUAGACAUAUAUAUAUAUGUAUUGUGUUCAUUUUGUGUUGCAUUAUCGUCUUAAUAUGAUAUCUGUCUAUGUGUACCACUUUUUCGUACCUGUAUGUGUGAUAUAUGUAUACUUAUACUUUCUUCUCGUAUUUGUGUUCGGUAUAUGUUAAUAUUAUAGUACUAUUAGUGGAGAUGGUGUGGAUCACAGUUUCGGACAUUUUUUAAUUGUAGGUGACGUGCCCUUAGUAUGUAUUUUGUAUGCUUUGUUUUGUACUUUGCUCGAUUGACAUAUGAUACCUACUGAGUACAAGUGAUCGUACUCUACCCUAUUGCACCCUUUCGGUGCAAAUCCAGGUACAAGUGCGCCGCACGAUAAUUGAUUCAGGCAAUACUUUGAGUUUAUUCGAGGUAGCGAUUGAUCUAUACAUCCGGAGUUGACCACUACCUUUUUUUAUCUAGACUGUGUCUUAUUAUAUUCAGAGAUAGAGUUUGUUCCCUGUUUGUUCCCUUUUAGAUAUCCGAUGUAUGUUUUGACUUCAAAUUGUGUUAGUUGGUUCUUACAUUGUGACACCGGGUUUUGAGAUAUUGUAUGGUAUCAUUGGUUGUGUAUCUCUUGUUUUUGUUAUGUAUGUGUGGUUCGACUCUUUUCUAAGAGUCUUGCCUUGUGUUUGGGUAUUAUCUUUCAUUUCAUAUUAGUUUAGAUGGUAGACUUACUUGUCAAUGCUUAUUGCGAUAAGUGUCAUCAUGACCCUUAGUUUUUGGAUCGUGACACUAAAAAAAAAAUUGGUUGAAUAAUUUUGUACUAUCUAGAAAUUAUAUAAAAAGUACUAUUGGAUGACGAGAGUUUUAGGGAGUGCCAAAAAUCCAGCUUGCCGUCAACAUAUUGAACGCCAAUCUCACCGAUAAUGGCCAACAUAGCAGCUGGUCAGCCAAUUUUCACGGCUGACCAGUCAUCUCUGACAAUAACAUCAAAAAAUUUCCAUCACUUUCUCUUAAAUCCCUAUAUAGCCUACGUUGUCUGGUUGUUCGCAACCAUCAUCACCACCAACGAAAUAUAAAUAUGUGAAUUUGUUUAAACCUAAUAGUGGUAUCAAUGGAAACAAUUUGACCCAUGAGGUGGAGCCGAGCCCUACUAAGAAACCGAACUAUAUAAAUGGAGUUCCUCAUGUCAAAAAGACAGAGGGGAAGGUUGAUAGAAUGAAUAUGAUUAAAGGAUUGCAAUACGUGAUCAUUAGAAAGUGGACGGCCAGAUUGGAAUGAUCUUCGACUGAAACUUCCUAAGCAGCUAAAUGUAAAAGGUGGAUGUAACAUUAGUCUACUGAGGAAUCGACACAUCCUAAUAAGAUUUGACAAAAUUGGGGAUUUUUUUAGUGUAAUGUCAAAGACAGUCUACUACAUUAAUGCUAAGGAGAGUAUUCAUAUCAGAUGGGGCCAUUAAUUUAUGAUGCUAAGCUUAAUACUAAAGUGGAAACAACAUAGGCAAUGACCUGGAUUUUCUUCCCUAAUCUUAAACCAACUUAUUUUGUGAAAGAAUCAUUGUUCUCAUUAGCACCUGCGGUUGGGAAAUCGAUUCAUUUAGAUAUAGCUACUGUGAAUAAGACAAGACCUAGUUGUACUAGGGUUAAGGUGCAGGUGGACGUAAUGGUUGACCUUCCUAAAUACGGAAGAAUCACGAGUGAAAAAGGUGAAAAAGCAAUAUGAUUUUCUACCCAAAUGUUACAAAAAGUGUAAGUUACAAGGGCAUAAUAAGCAAGAAUGUAGGAUUCUAAACCUUGAAUUAAACUAGCGUAUGAAGAUAACAAGAAGCAAGAUAACUAAUGACCAGCACAAAGAAAAAGAUACUGGUAUGCCCUGCCCAGGGGACAAGGUGGAAGUAGGGGUGGGCGUUCGGUACCAGCAUAAAGAAAAAGAUACUGAUAUGUCCAGGGAACAAGGAGUAAGUAGGGGUGGACGUUCGAUCUGAUUGUUUAAUAUCAAUUCGAUUUAUCAAUUUUUGGAUCGACAAAAAUGAUAUCUGUGAGCAAAUCAAAAUAAAUUCGAUUUGGUUCGAUUAUUUCGAAUUUUUAUUUCGAUUUGAAAUAUUAAAGUAGUUAGCCACUCUUUAAUAACUGAGCAUUUAAAAUUGAUAAAUUUUUUUAGAAAAAAUAACUCAACAUGGAUGAAACGAAAUAACAUAAUCAUAAGCUUAACAUAAUACAUAACGUCAUUAAUCAUUACAUAUAAUAUAAUCUUGCAUAAAUAGUUCAUGAAACAGUCCAAAGUCACCAAAAUAGUCCAUAAAACAUUUGAGUCACUAAAACAAUCCAUAAACAGCCUGCGGCGUAUGCGAAUUUGCUGUUAAAUAUUAAUUGUCGGCUUUUCGGUUUAACCAAAAAAUUAAAAAAAAAAAAACAAAAACCGAACCGAAAAACCAAAAUUUUAAAAUUACAAACCGAAUCCAAUCCGAAAAACCAAAAAACCAAAAUCAAAAUUAAAUUUCGAUUUUUUUGGUUUAAACCAAAAUAUCCCCACCCCUAGGUGGAAGAAAGUAUGGUCAAGAAUAGAGAUGGAAUCCUAUUAGAAGAAGAUUUCCUAACAAAGGAUACCAGAAUGAAAAGGCUAUCACUCCUGAGAAGACAUGCAAUACAAAUCAAUUUCAAUCUCUAACAGAAGUGGAAAAAGAGAACAUAUAAGAGAUACUAAUAAUAUUAUUACAUCUGAUGAACCUCAACUUGUUAAUGAGAUGGUAAAGGGGAACUAUCCACCAAGGACUGGGUUGCCAUGUCAUUCCAUUGUAAAAGGAAAGAAAAUAUUAUGAAAAUCAACAGGCAGGAGGAAUCUG